rnacentral:rRNA from 1 species
AUACGAAGGGUGCAAGCGUUACUCGGAAUUACUGGGCGUAAAGCGUGCGUAGGUGGUUGUUUAAGUCUGUCGUGAAAGCCCUGGGCUCAACCUGGGAAUGGCGAUGGAAACUGGGCGACUAGAGUGUGGCAGAGGGUAGUGGAAUUCCUGGUGUAGCAGUGAAAUGCGUAGAGAUCAGGAGGAACAUCCGUGGCGAAGGCGACUGCCUGGGCCAACACUGACACUGAGGCACGAAAGCGUGGGGAGCAAACAGGAUUAGAUACCCUGGUAGUCCACGCCCUAAACGAUGCGAACUGGAUGUUGGGUGCAAUUUGGCACGCAGUAUCGAAGCUAACGCGUUAAGUUCGCCGCCUGGGGAGUACGGUCGCAAGACUGAAACUCAAAGGAAUUGACGG